rnacentral:rRNA from 1 species
AUUGAACGCUGGCGGCAGGCCUAACACAUGCAAGUCGAGCGGUAGAGAGGUGCUUGCAUCUCUUGAGAGCGGCGGACGGGUGAGUAAUGCCUAGGAAUCUGCCUGGUAGUGGGGGAUAAAGCUCGGAAACGGACGCUAAUACCGCAUACGUCCUACGGGAGAAAGCAGGGGACCUUCGGGCCUUGCGCUAUCAGAUGAGCUUCGGUCGGAUUAGCUAGUUGGUGAGGUAAUGGCUCACCAAGGCGACGAUCCGUAACUGGUCUGAGAGGAUGAUCAGUCACACUGGAACUGAGACACGGUCCAGACUCCUACGGGAGGCAGCAGUGGGGAAUAUUGGACAAUGGGCGAAAGCCUGAUCCAGCCAUGCCGCGUGUGUGAAGAAGGUCUUCGGAUUGUAAAGCACUUUAAGUUGGGAGGAAGGGUCGUUACCUAAUACGUGACGAUUUUGACGUUACCGACAGAAUAAGCACCGGCUAACUCUGUGCCAGCAGCCGCAGUAAAAC